GCGACCCCAGGACGGGCGAGGCCACCCGCUGAGUUUAAGCA
rnacentral:rRNA from 1 species